CUGGCUGCCAGUUACAGAACACCCACCCUUAGGUGUAACAUUUGAGAUGAGGAUGAAGCCACACUGGGUGUGGAGAGGCAGCGGCAGGAGGUGUCUACUCCACAGUCCCUGGCCCCCUGCAAUGUGAAGUCAGAAGGAUGAUUUAGGUUCUGUCCAGUGAUGUGACACAGCUUCCAGAACGUUCCUCACAGCAGGUGCCCUGAAAGCCCAGACCCAGCCGGCAGGUCACUUGCUGAGCUGCUACUUGAACAUCCAGAGGCAUCAUUCAGAGUGAAGAGAGAGGCUGUUUCUUCAAAGGCAGGCGUGCUGGACGGAAGAAAACCACUGUGUCCACGAUCGUGUCCAAAUAAACAGAGUUAAUGUAAUGAAGAAGUUCCUUCGGAGCUCUGGGUCAGAUCUUCUCACUGGUAAAAGGACAAUUAAAAGCCUACACUCACUUUAUGGAGCCCAGGUCCUAGUUAGCCUCCCAGAAACCUACAUACUUAACGUUUUAUUCCACAAAGUGUCCUAACUGAUACAGUGGGAGAGGCAUAAAAAUUUAGUGUUUGUUAUUUGGAACCCCCAAUGACAAAAUCAUGUUAAUGCAACCUUUUACAGAGAGAACUCAAGAGGGGAAUCAUCAGGUAACCCCAACGGCCUGGAAGCCAAGGAAGGCAGUGUACAGCCUGUGCCGUGGAUGGAUGGAGAGGAGACAAGAUGCCGCGGCCAUAGAGAACUGCCCCGUGUGGACAGCACUGCCCGGUGGACUAGGAAUUGCCAUGGAAUUGGAAAGCAGAAGGGGGAGGUCUGUGUUGUCUGUGGAUCUUCCGUCUAGAGUGGCCCUGGGCCCAAGCUGAAUCCCCCAGCUUGAAAAGGCCAGUGUGAGUCAUCAGUCCCACCCAUACUUUGCCUUUUGAGGUGCUGGGGCAAGCAGGGGCAGAGAGCGUCUGCACUCUGUACAGACUAAGGAGGCAGGCAGCAACAGGAACACUCCUACAAAUGAGCUUAAUAGCAGUGCGUGGGCCCACACCUGUAAUCCCAGCCAUCAGAAAGCAGAAGCAGAAUUGGGAGCUCCAGGCCAGCCUGAACGACACAAAAAGACCAUCUCAAAACAAAUGAACAAAGAAACAAAAUCAAGAGGAGUUUAGUUUUGUGUCCCCAGAGAAGAUUCAGAGCUGAAGAAAGACCUAGACAUAGACAGUCAGAGGGGCUUGUUCUCUAGCUAAACCCCAGAUAAGACCUGAGAUUCCUGAUAGUUGAUCCUAAGAGUGUAUUGACUCAGUGACUGUUGAUAUAUUAGAACCCUAGUCCGAAUUCAAAGUCAUAUAGAAACUGAAACUUAAAAGAAUCUUCUGCCGGGCAUUGGUGGUGCACGCGUUUAAUCCCAGCACUCGGGAGGCAGAGGCAGGUGGAUCUCUGUGAGUUUGAAACCAGCCUGGUCUACAAGAGCUAGUUCUAGGACAGGCUUCAACGCCACAGAGAAACCCUAUCUCGAAAAACCACAAGAAAAGAAAAAAAUUUAAAUAAAUAAAAGAAUCUUCUAGAACUUUGACAUCUAAAAAUGGGUCCAACCUCAGGUAAAUUUGGAUGUUGUGCGUUGAGUAUGGCAGUGUACAUCUGUAAUCUUGGCCCUUGGAAGGCUGACUCAGGAAGACAAGGAAUACAUGAGAUCCAUGAAACCCUGCCCUUCUAAUACCUCCUUUGUAACUCUCCGAACCUAGGAGUGAUGUGUGUUUGGACUUCAUGGAAUGGCUUGCAAGACCACAGAUACGAAAAGUUCCAUUCUGCAAGCUAGUAGUGUGACUCAAGCUAAGAAGUGGGAAGCCUCAACCAAAGAGGCAAGGAUACAGCCCACAGGCAGAAGCCAAAGACCUAAAGCAUCAAUGGGCACUGGUGGGAAUCUCAGAGCAUAAAGACUCCAAGGAACCUGGCUUCUGAAGACGGAGAGCAGACAAUGGCUAACUCAGACAAUUGCUUCUUCUUCCUGGGCCCAGCCCUGUCCACACAGGGAGCAGUUCUUUUCCACUCGGUUGGCUCUGUCUCUGGAAACACUCUCACUGGCAUGCCCAGAGGUGCGGUACACACUACCUUCACGCAUCACUUGAUCGUGUCAACACUGGAAUUUUGUUAGCCACUCCGCUGCCAAAUUAGCCACCACACAACUGAAACAACAUAAACCCAAUUCAGACCAGCAAAUGUAUCUUCAACCAAGUGAGCUCAGCAAAUAUUUCUUCCUUUCCACCCUCUGCACAGGCAUGGGAGGAUUACAGCUUUCCAUUCCCACUGACAUUUUGUUGACUAAAUGACUUACUUUGCUUCUCCUAAUGUAGACGAUACAACAGAAGCUUGACAUGAGUGAGCCAAGUCCCUAGUUAACCUUUCUUGAAUGCAUAGCAAGAAACAAACCUUCAAGGCAUAUGCCACUAUUCAUCUCCACACUCUAUUAUUUUAUCCCUACAGAACCCGGUGAGGGUUUCUCUGUGUAGCUUUGGAGCCUGUCCAGCACGAGGCCAAACUUGAAAAUGCAGAUUGCACUGAAGCUUUGCUGAACAGUUGCAACCCACGAAAACUCAGCAAGUGUGUGUCAACUCAUUUCUAAUCUACUCACUGAAAGUCAGAAAAGUCCCUUUUAGAUGUGAGAACUCAGCAAGAUGCUAAGGGACUCUGUCUCCUUCUGUCCCAACCAGACAUUGAAAUACAGUGACACACCUCACAGCAGCACUUUGGUCAAGGAUGGGCUGCUUGUGACAUGGAGAUCCUGCAAUGUGUUGAUUGGUGACUUUGAAAAACAACGGUUUGUGUAAGCGUGUGCUCCAUGAUGCUUACACGGUGACAAAGUCACCUAGUGAGGUAUUUCUCAGAACAGAUCCCUUUUGUUAAGCCAUGCAUAACUGCCAUCAAUGCCAUAUCUCUUGAGCCCAGAAAGGGAACCUCUUCCUGGGUGCGGCCGUGCACACCUGCAAUCCCAGCAUUGAGACAAGAAGAUGGCAAGUUUGAGGCCAGCCUAGACUACAUAGUGAAACUCUUGUGUAUGUGAGGCAAUGAAGGAGACAGAUAGAGGACGGUCCUGCCACCCUUCCUGGCAACGUUGCAGUAUCAAACACUUUGGGAAGUGACAGAGGCCUUCCUUGGCUGCAGUAGCCCUCCGUCCGCAUCAGCACCGAUGUGGAGGACUCGGAGAACCCAGAGAGAAGUGGGAGAUGAGCAAACGAGUUCCAGAUUUCCCAGCCCAGCAUGCAGGUCUGUGCACUGGCUAAGCUCAGUGAAGGGCUUGAAUGGAAGAUUAAAGGGAAUUCUUGUGUGUUUAUUCAAGAAUGCGGUGACUGUUGGACAUUAUCACAGAUUCCCCAAGUCUGAGCUCAUUUUGUAACAGAGCCUUGGUGGAGCAGGCAAAUAUCAUAGUCAUUUAUCUGGUAACAUCCCUGUGAGUGCAGCGCCAGGCCCCUCCUUUUCUAGUGUCUACUCUAUGAACUCUAGUUUUAAAGGGGCAGGGGAAGUAAAACUGUCAUAACCGAGCAAGCAGCAAGCUGCAUUUGCCUAACACACACACACACACACACACACACACACACACACUCACACUCACACUCACACACAAACCUCACCACUACCACUAACUAAAGAGAAAGAGGCCAUGAAAUUGAAAGAAAACAAGGGGGUGAGGUACAUGGGAGGCUUUCGAGGGAUAAAAGGGAAGGAGAAAAUGAUGUAAUUAUAUUCUCAAAAAUAUUUUUAAAAUUAUCAUAACAGAAACACUUGCUUUUAAAAAACCAGAUGACUUUUUAAAUGUUUCAUCAACAAAAUUCAGUGUUUUUUGUUAUGUUACAUAUACAGAAAACUGGAAAGAAAUCAUUAUUAUUUCCUUACUCCUUUUUUUUAAAUUGGAUACAUUAAAGUGUGAAACAUGCCAUUUUAAUAGACUUACCUUGAUACACACAUACACACAAGCACAUAUAUAUUUACACACGUGGUGAAAUGGAUGAGAAAUGUCCCCCAUAGGCUCUGUGUGUUUGAACAUUUUGUCCUCAGUUGGUAGUAACUCUUUGGGGAGGAUAUGGAACUUUUAGGAGAUAGAGACUUCCUGGAGGAAGUGUACCAGCGGGGGUGGGCUUUGAAGGUUUAUAACCUCAUUUCACUUCCUGUGUGUUGAAACCGUGAUGAUCUAGCUUCCUGUUCCUGCAGGCCACGCUUCCUUGCCUGUUGCUACAUUUCCCCCACCAUGACGGAUUCUGUCCCUCUGGAACCAUUAGCCCCAAUAUACCCCUUCUUGGUCAUAGUAUUUUAUUUAUUUAUAUCUGUUUAUUUACUUGAGACAAAUUACCUCUUUGGAGCUCUGGCUGGCUGGAACUUUCUAUGUAGACCAGGCUGGCCUCAAAUUCACAGAGAUCUGCCUGCCUUUGCCUUCUGAGUGCUGGGACUAAAGGCAUGCACCACCAUGCCUGAUCCUGAUCAUGGUGUCUAACAGAAGAGUAACAAGUACAGGGAUCACGUGACAUGCUCAUCCUGCAGAGCCAGCUUCCCACGUACCCUUUGACCCUGUCAUCAUUCCCACUGCUGGGUCUCAUCCUCCUCGAUGGACCACCACUGUGGUCUGUGAUGCCACCAGAGGCCAUGCUGGUGUCUGUAUCCAUGCUCGCUGCCCCAGGGAGCCUCCAUUUUAUUUUGCUUAAACUUAAAUUUUAGACUCGAUGCCUGAGGGACUUUUCACCCUUUUUCUUUCUAUGUCUCCUUUAUUUCAUUUAGUAUAAUGUCCAACAGAUUUUGUUUGGAAAAAUGAAGAAUUUUGGGAGUGGAUAGAGGUGGCAAUUGUAACACAAUUGUGAGUAUACUUAAAACAUGGAUAAAUGGUUGCUUUGGUUAAGGUUUUCUUUUGCUGUGAAGAGAAACCACAACGACAGCAACUCUUAUAAAGAAAACAUUUAAUUGGGGCGGCUCACUUACAUUUCAUAGGUUCAGUCCAUUGUCAUCAGGAUGGGGAACAUGGCAGCCUGCACGCAGAUACGGUGCUGGAGCUGAGGGCUGCAUCUUGACUCAGAGGCAGCAGGAAGUUGACUGUCACACAGAGAGAAGCUUGAGAAAAGAGACCCCCCCAAGGCCCGCCCCCACAGUGACGCACUUCCUCCAACAAGGCCACACCUCCUAAGAGAGCCUGGGGUGGUGGAAUGCAGCCAGGCUGCCAAUCAAUGAACAAAUAUGUGAUGGAGAGGUGGGAAAAAAUAGAAAAGCGAGCACUGUGGAGAGAGCUGGGACUGGAGCCUGUUGGUGGUGACAGGUGUGAGAGAGGCGCUAAGGUCAACAGCGGGACCAUGUCGUUGUCCCAUAGGGUCACCUCGUACAAUGCAGCAGCCUGGAGCUUACACGGAUGAAGACUCAGCUGCUCCCCAACCACAACACACCACCUGGCCAAGGGAUGGCCUUGGUUCUGGACAACAAUGUUUGAGAUUAGGAAUGGUUCGCUUUCUGGAUUGGACCUCCUCGAUGGACCACCACUGUGGUCUGUGAUGCCACCAGAGGCCAUGCUGGUGUCUGUAUCCAUGCUCGCUGCCCCAGGCAAUGAUGAAGCUCGAGAUCCGUGUGGACUUUUGAGGUCUGUGCUGCUGACUAAAGCCGUGUGGAGCCCUGUGGGCCACGCUGCUGCUGGGGGCCAUAUUGAUGCAUCCUGUGUUGCCAUCUGAAGCCACAGUGACUCCAAGUCUGUGCUGCCACCCAGGGCUACAUCUGGGUCUGUGGUCCUACUGCAGUCCUGGUCUGUGUUAAUGUCCAUGUCCCAUGUAACCUCCGGAAGGCCGUGUGAUGUCUAUGGUCUGUGCUGCAGCCUGAAGCCAUGUUGAUAUUCGUGGGCUGUGCCACUGCAGGGCCAUAUUGACCUGGGUGGAUUUCACUGUCACCUGAGGCCAUGUUGAUGUCCAUGGUCUAGGCUGCCUCUGGGAGCCUUGUCUGGGUCUGUGGUCCUACUGCAGCUGGGGGCUGUGUGCAUGGUCUGUGCUGUUACCAGAAACCAUGUGGAGGCCCAUGAUCUAUGCUCCCUGUGACAGUGGCUACUUUUACUGUCAUAUGGAUGAUCUCUGUGUGUUCAAGGUCAACCCAGUCUACAUAGAGUCCCAGGACAACCGGGGUUACAUACAGAGAUCCUAUCUCAGCAACACACACCCCCGGCCCCAAACAAACAAAACUCCAGGUUUGGGAAAUUUAACAAGAGAAGAGAGAGAAAAAAUUCAAGAAAAGCAGGGGUCAGGGUGGGUGGGAAUGAAAUAGAGAUGGCUCAGGAGUUAAGAACACAAAAUGCUUUUGAAGAGGGCCCAAGUUUGGUUCCCAGCACCCACAUCAGGCUGCUCACAACAGCCUGUAACUCCAGCUCUGGGAGAUCCUAUGCAACUGACAUCUAAGGGCACAUUGGACUCUCACACGUACCGCCCUCUCUGCAAACACACAUGCAUGCUCACACACACAUACACACACACACACACACACACACACACACACACACAGAGUAGCUAUUGUAUUCACUUAUACUCAGAAAAUAAAUAGGAAUCAUCUGCUCCCAUCUAUCUACUUAAGGAACUUGCUGAGACCCUGAAACCUGGGGAACUCACAUGGCCAACAGUAGUGAGGCAGAGAGGAAAAACAGAUUUCCCCAGCAGGAAAUGGCCCAAAUAGAAGAAAUUCCAGUCUUUGGACCCUGCUUAGACAACAGUCGGGUAGAAAGUUUAUCGUUAAACUCUCAAGCUCUUUUGCCAUUUAAUGUACGAAUGUGCUAGGUCAUUGUGCUAUGACUCAAAGGGGGUUAAUGUUUUUCAGAAAACAUUCAGAAAGCCUUUGAACAAUUGCUCCUCGGGCAGGUUUGGCUGCAGGAUGAAUGCCACUAUCACCAUCCAGAUGCUUUACACACACUCUCUUCCUUUAAAAAAGUUCAACCCUUGAUGUUUUACGGUUGUUACUCGGUAGUAGAGCCAAGGCUACUUUAUUUCCCAAGCUGAAACUCCAAAAACACUGACACACAUUCUCUUGUCUGGGUUAUGAAAUUUCUGUGGCCUUCAAAAGCCCGUUAAGGGGUUGUCAACUCAAAAGACAGAGAAGAGCCCUUAGAAGUUCCAUCCGGUGCUGCCUGGUCACAUACUAGGAAUCUGACCCUCAGAGAAAUGUCCUAGUUUGGGAAGAAACACAAGGCUGAACUGGAUGGCCCCAGAUCCCUCCAGCUUAUUCUUUAAGGGCAGACAACGUACAGGUGUGUGAUGGAGUCAACACAUAAAAUAUCUUACUGUGUUCAUUAAAUAAGUGUGGGUGUUAAAAUAUAAA